CUUAGAUGCUUCAUAUACCAACAAUGGAAAAUGGUCCAAAGAUCGCCAGACGGUUUUACAAGGAACUUACUGAUAUUCAGUAUGGAAAAGUUUCCAGUCCAUGGGCAUAUGUUGUAAAUGAUUCAUCUGAUGAGAACGAAAAUUUACAAGCUAUGAGUAUAAAUUAGUUGUUGUUUCUGGUUCAUAGAAACCUUUUUUGUCGUAUGUCAUAUGGACACUAAGAAGCUAAAUAUAACCCAUUUGUAGAAAACCUCAAUAAUAAAUACUUGUUUGACAGAAAGAAUUUAUGCUCGUUACCU